rnacentral:rRNA from 1 species
UACGUAGGGUCCGAGCGUUGUCCGGAAUUACUGGGCGUAAAGAGCUCGUAGGUGGUUUGUCGCGUUGUCCGUGAAAACUCACAGCUCAACUGUGGGCGUGCGGGCGAUACGGGCAGACUGGAGUACUGCAGGGGAGACUGGAAUUCCUGGUGUAGCGGUGGAAUGCGCAGAUAUCAGGAGGAACACCGGUGGCGAAGGCGGAUCUCUGGGCCGUAACUGACGCUGAGGAGCGAAAGCAUGGGGAGCGAACAGG